UAUUAACUUGGUGCGCUUGUGCAAAUUAGUCAUCACACUUGCAAACGGUUAAAUUCGAGUGUUACAACUUGACAUAAUUGAGCACCCGACGUCCAAAAUACGAACCCGUAGUUUCGGGCGCUGACGUGGCUCGCUGACGUGGACUAAAUGGGUCUGGCCGGCAAUAAAAGUUUGCAAAUAGCCCCUCCUUCUUAUCCUGAUCUCAUGCCGAAAAAAAAAACAUAUGUUGCUUGAUGAUGCAUAUGGCACGCCAGGAGUAGCUCAGCCGCCUUCAUGGACAUGGAGGGAUUCCGGCGCGCGUUCGCGGUGUCUGACGGCGUCGAAGUCGCCAAGGUCUCCAUCGGAUUCGAGGUCAGCUUCCUGCGCCUAGCCCGCGCCGCCACCUCGGGACGUGCCGGUGGAGGUCGAGAACUCAAGGUGGAGGUACACAUGGCGUGGCGUGUACACGGCGGGCAUGUCUCGGCCAUGUGGUGGUUUGGCAAGGAGAAUAUGCCAUUGCAUGCGAGCUCGGCUGGUUCCUCGAGGGCGUAUAAAUGGUUGCCCGCGUGCGCUAGGCGCAGGAAAACGCGGCUAGAGCAGCAAGCGUGCGCGGGGGUCGAGCUUGCAGGUGCGAGACCAGACGUGGCUUUGUUGCAGCGUGUGGUGUCGGUGACUUGUUGUGUUGCUGGUGUUGAGUAGAGCCACGCGCAGAGGUCAUGGUUGAGGAGUUAUGCAGGUUGCACAGGACGUGUUCGAGGAAAUGCCUAUGUGGUGUUGUCUUGACCAGGAGCUGCAGCGGUGGCUUGUGCCGGCAAAGACGAUAGUAUCCAAAGUUCGGGUUGGCAGACUCCCUGCAUGGAGACCAGAGGUGGCAUUGAGUGCGGCGGACUCCACAAGAGGUGGAGGCCGAUGGUGGCGGAGGAACUCCAUGAGGGUGGUGAGCUUCAAGAGCAGCGGCAAUGGCGACGUAAGCGGAGACCAUCAAAGCCGGUAGCUGCUCGCCGUCGUCUUCGUCGUUGUCGAGCAGCAAGGUCAACUUUAGUCGGGACGCCGCCGUCGCAUUUGUUCCCUUUGCCCGCGUUUUCCCCACCGCCGCGCCCCAUGUCUCCGACGCAGUUCGGCAGAAGGCCCACGGGAUCCCCACAGAUCCCGACUUCGUCAUGCUGGAGCUCUAGUCGCCGGCGGCGUCAACGACAAUCUUCCCAAAGGCUAGCAAACAAGUGAGGGGGGUUUUGCAAAAAAUUAUGGCCAGCCAAACCCAUUUAGUCCAUGUUGGCAAGACACGUCAGCACUUGAAACUACAAAUUCGUAUUUUUGACCUCGAGUGCUCAAUCCUGCCAACUUGUAACACCUGAAUUUAGCCGUUUGCAAGUACGAUGACUAAUUUACACAAGCGUGCCAAGUUAAUA